UUGGUUGAUCUCAAAAAAAGCUAAGUCAAUUUGGACCUGAUUAGUACUUGGAUGGGAGUCCACUAGCAAAUCCCAGGGCAAAAUCCAAA
rnacentral:rRNA from 1 species